AACGGUGCAGUAAAUGGUCUGCACUAAGGGCUGAAUGGAGCCGCACGG
rfam:Clostridiales bacterium 59_14 Ley3_66761_scaffold_2996, whole genome shotgun sequence.